GAUGAACGCUAGCUACAGGCUUAACACAUGCAAGUCGAGGGACCGGCGCACGGGUGAGUAACACGUAUCCAACCUGCCCUUUACUCGGGGAUAGCCUUUCGAAAGAAAGAUUAAUACCCGAUGUAAAGGAUGGGGAUGCGUUCCAUUAGGUUGUUGGGGAGGUAACGGAGCACCAGGCCUUCGAUGGAUAGGGGUUCGGAGUGGAAGGUCCCCCACAUUGUAACUGGGACACGGUCCAAACUCCGACGGGAGGCAGCAGUGAGGAAUAUUGGUCAAUGGGCGUUAGCCUGAACCAGCCAAGUAGCGUGAAGGAUGAAGGCUUAUGGGUCGUAAACUUCUUUUAUAUAAGAAUAUGUAUUAUAUGAAUAAGGAUCGGCUAACGCCGUGCCAGCCGCCGCGGUAAUUC
rnacentral:rRNA from 1 species